rnacentral:rRNA from 1 species
CCGGCACGGGUGAGUAACACGUAUCCAACCUGCCGUCUACUCUUGGACAGCCUUCUGAAAAGAAGAUUAAUACAAGAUGGCAUCAUGAGUCCGCAUGUUCACAUGAUUAAAGGUAUUCCGGUAGACGAUGGGGAUGCGUUCCAUUAGAUAGUAGGCGGGGUAACGGCCCACCUAGUCUUCGAUGGAUAGGGGUUCUGGGAGGAAGGUCCCCCACAUUGGAACUGAGACACGGUCCAA